GGAUGUGAGGGCGAUCUGGCUGCGACAUCUGUCACCCCAUUGAUCGCCAGGGUUGAUUCAGCUGAUCUGGCUGGCUAGGCUGGUGUCCCCUUCCUCCUUCACCGCUCCAUGUGCAUCCCUCCCAAAGAUGCAGACAGCCUUCCCUGAAUAGAGACUGACCAGUCUUCGGUCGAGGGUAUACGAGUAGCUGCGCUCCCCUGCUAGAACCUCCAAACAAGCUCUCAAGAAAGUGUCCAAUGUUACUAAUUAUCAGAGAAAUGCAAAUAAAGACAACAAUACGAUACAACUUUACACCUGUAAGAGUGUCAUUAAGU
rfam:Erinaceus europaeus unplaced genomic scaffold scaffold00015, whole genome shotgun sequence